rnacentral:rRNA from 1 species
CGCUGGCGGCGUGCUUAACACAUGCAAGUCGAACGGUGACGGAGAGCUUGCUCUCCUGAUCAGUGGCGAACGGGUGAGUAACACGUGGGCAACCUGCCCCAGACUUCGGGAUAACGCUUCGAAAGAGGUGCUAAUACCGGAUACGAACUCCUUGGGCAUCCUUGGAGUUGGAAAGUUUUUCGGUCUGGGAUGGGCCCGCGGCCUAUCAGCUUGUUGGUGAGGUAACGGCUCACCAAGGCGACGACGGGUAGCCGGCCUGAGAGGGCGACCGGCCACACUGGGACUGAGACACGGCCCAGACUCCUACGGGAGGCAGCAGUGGGGAAUAUUGCGCAAUGGGCGAAAGCCUGACGCAGCAACGCCGCGUGAGGGAUGACGGCCUUCGGGUUGUAAACCUCUUUCAGCAGGGAAGAAGCGAAAGUGACGGUACCUGCAGAAGAAGCACCGGCUAACUACGUG